UUUAAGUGCAACCAUAAGUUUUCGUGCCCAACUUUAAUCGUCUGUCUUAUUUGAAAUUUUUUUAUAAUUAGUAUUUUUAUUGUUAUGAGAUGAUAAAACACAAAUAGUACUUUAUGCAUGACUUAAGUUUUUAAAUUUUUUUAAAAAAUUUUCAAAUAAAACGGACGAUCAAAGUUGGGCAUGAAAAAUUAUAACUGCACAUAAA
rfam:Oryza glumipatula chromosome 12, whole genome shotgun sequence.